rnacentral:rRNA from 1 species
AUGCGCUGCGGGCGCGGCUGUAGCUUCCUCCGUCCAGGCGUCCACCCGAUGCCGCUCCUCGCCACCCGACCCUAUAUAACGCCGCGCACGUCAGCGGCCACCGCGGGCCCCGCCACUGCCACCUCUUCCGGUACCUGCUCCCUCCGGGUCCGGCUCCGCGCACCAGGGAGAUCCGCCGCCUCCUCCUCCUCCUCCCGGCUCCCUCGCGCCAUGGCCGCCACCGGAGCCGAUGCCGCCGCCGCUCCCCCGUCCCUGCUCGUCUUUUCAGGUGGAACAGCAUUUAAUGGUGUCGUAGAAGAGUUGAAGAAAGUGACUACCCGGGUUGCGCAUGUCCUACCAGUUUCUGAUGAUGGUGGAAGCACAGCUGAGAUUGUUCGUGUGCUUGGUGGACCUGCUGUGGGUGACAUAAGAUCAAGAUGCUUGAGACUGUCCGAUGAAAGCACUUUGGAAGCACUCUCCGUCCGGAGAUUACUUGGGCACCGUUUGCCUCUUGAUCCUUCAGAAGCAAAGCUGGAGUGGUACAAUAUUGUGGAAGGAGAACACUCUUUAUGGGAUGGUGUCUCUCGUCCCUACAGGGAAACAAUCCGUGCAUUUUUGGUCUACUUCCAUAAUGAGAUCCUUCGGCGACCAGUUGAAACAUUUUGCUUCACCAAUGGCAGCAUUGGGAAUUUCUUUUUUGCUGGCGCACGCAUAUUCUUCCAGUCUUUGGAUGCUGCGAUCUUUUUGUUUUCACGUGUGUCACAAAUCCCUGCCGAAAGUCUUGUGCUUCCAGUAAUAUCCACAAAUGACAGGCUUACUCUGGGGUGUGAAUUAUGGGAUGGAACUAUUAUCCGAGGCCAAAAUGAAAUAUCACAUCCAAGCAAUGGCCGUAGAGAAGUUGUUGACAAGGACUCUAAUUCAUGCACCGCACUUCCUUCAAGCAUCAAGCGCGUCUUUUACAUGUCAAGUGAAGGUUGCAACCUAUUGCAUGAGGUGUUUCCUGAAGCUAACCAUACAGUUUUGGAGCAGCUAAGUAAGGUGGAUUGCAUUGUAUAUGCGAUGGGGUCGCUAUUUACAUCAGUUUGUCCAUCACUGGUACUGCGUGGCAUUGGUGAGACUAUAGCAUCAAGGUCCAUUCCCAAGGUACUUCUUUUAAAUGGAUCACAUGAUAGAGAAACUAUUGGGCUGUCUGCUUCUGGCUUUGUGACUGCAAUUACGGAUUCUCUAAAUCGGACAUAUGGUGAUCCUGACAAAAGUCUAAAGUAUCAUCCCAAAGACUAUGUUAAUGCCAUAUUGGUUCCUGAAGGAGGCCAAAUUCCUUUAGAUGUUGAACAUUUGGCAUCUAAAAGAAUUUUUCAUGUGUUAACCGUGAAAUCUGUACGCGACACGAAGGUGGGUGUCAUUUUUGAUCCACAGUCUUUAAUCCAAGCUCUGACCGGUCUGAUAUCCGAGCACAUGGAUGCACGCCUUGCGGAACCUGACCCUCUAACUGAAAACGUGACGUCUGUAUGCUGA